GGUUAUUAGAGGGAAAUAAUAAUUUUACCUGCUCAGUGCUUAAGGUAAAUAGCUGCAGUAUUUUGACUGUACUAAGGUAGCAUAAUCAAUAGCUUUUUAAUUGAAGGCUGGUAUGAAAGGUUAAUACUAUAAGGGUGGUUUUGUUAAUUGAUAUUAAAUUUAAAUUAAAAGUAAGAAUGCUUUUAUUAAUCCUUGGGACGAGAAGACCCUAGAAGCUUUAAUAUGUAUUACAUUUUAGUUGGGGUGACUGUUGAAGAUAAAGAUCUUUAAUUUGGAAAUAUUAAAAUUUAUAAGUUACUCUAGGGAUAACAGCGUUAUUUAGUUUAUGAGUUCUUAUUGAAAAUUAGGUUUGCGACCUCGAUGUUGAAUUAAAUGGAAAUAGGGUGUAGAAGCUUUAUAUAUGUAGUCUGUUCGACUAUUAAAUUUUUACA
rnacentral:rRNA from 1 species